AAGUGAUGGCAAGAAGACGGAGGCAAUAAAAGGGAAUGAAGAAGAGAAAGGGCAAGUAAUGAAAGAGGAGGCCAGAGAGAAAAGUGAUGGAGAAGGAGAGAGGGCUCCUGUCAGUCCUGGAAACUGAAGUAGGAUUUUCCUCCACAGUCCACUCCCAGUGUUGCUCUGCUUGCACAGUAAUCAGCCUUUGUAUAGUGAGUAGCCUUUCCAGAAGGAAGAAACCUCCUUGGCCUUUAAAUUCAAAUGGAAAAUAACCAUAAAGUGGAACAACAUGCACAUGAAAAAAUCUAGUCCACUAUACUGAAUUAUUGAAUUGAUCAGUUAAACCAAACUUAAUAUGUGAUAACACCAGAGUACUAGGAGAAAAGAUGCACUUAAAGUGCUUACUACAGUACCUAGCACACAGCACCUUCUAAAUUAAUAAUUACUAGCCAACUAUAGAAACACUUAAAAAAGAAAAUGCGAUAUAGAAGUUAAAUUAUAAUUAAGAAGAUUUUGACAGUUGUAUACAUCUGUGUAACCACUACCCUGCUCUAGAUAUGGAAUAUUUCCAUCACUCCAAAAAGAUCCUCCCUGUCCCUUUUCAACAAACUCUCUGUCCCCCCGAGGCAACCAUGUGGUAGGUAGGACCCCACCAAAGAUGCCCUUGCCCUAAUUAAUGCCCAGAACCUGAGACUGUGAGUAUACCCGUUAACGUUACAUGGCAAAAGGGACUUUGAAGACCUUGCAAUAAGGAGAUUAUCCUGGAUUACCUGAGUGAGUCCAAUGCAACCACACGAGUCCUUAAAAGUAGAAGAGGAAGGCAGAAGAGUGGGUCAGAGAAAGAUGCAACAGUAGAAGAGGCAGUUGAGACUUGAAGUAUGAGGAGCACAUGACCCACUGUUGCUGGCUUUGAAGAUGGCGGAAUGGCACCACAAGUCAAGGAAUGCAGGUGGCCUUUAUCACCACCUGCUGGGAACACUAGCAAAGAAACAGGGACCUCAGUCCUACAACCACAAGCACUGAAUUUUAGCCAACAGCUUGAAUUGAGCAAAGAAAUGGAUUCUCCC
rnacentral:lncRNA from 1 species